UACGUAGGGACCGAGCGUUGUCCGGAAUCAUUGGGCGUAAAGAGCGUGUAGGCGGCCAACUAAGUCCUGCGUGAAAUCUCGGGGCUCAACCCCGAGCGGUCGUGGGAAACUGGUUGGCUAGAGUGCGGGAGAGGAGAGUGGAAUUCCCGGUGUAGCGGUGAAAUGCGCAGAUAUCAGGAAGAACACCCGUGGCGAAGGCGGCUCUCUGGAACGCAACUGACGCUGAGACGCGAAAGCGUGGGGAGCAAACAGG
rnacentral:rRNA from 1 species